AGUAGGUUCCUAUCUCUAUAUGUACCAUAUGCGGCAACCACCACUGCUCCAAAAUAGAUCGAAGGGGCGGACUGCCUAGGGUUGCGCUGUAGUAGAUCAACACUGCGAUUGCGCCGCCGUCCAUGUUGAGGCCGCUCCUCUAGCGUGAGUUUUCCGUCCAGUCUGAUCAGUGGUGCUCCAUUAUGGUAUGGUUGCUCAUCUACGUCAUGGCCUGUUGAUUUCCCCUGAUCUCCCAUGUCUCUCUCACCGCUUGGUUCCUGGUGAUUAAAGGAUUGCAUCAACACAACAGCAUUGAUUCACGGAAAUUAACCAUGUGCGAUGGCUUUAGAUGAUCCAAUAGAGCAGUCGUGCAACUGUGGUGCCAAGGUGGAGUUGUUGAUUUUGACGAGGAUGAUGCCUGCUGCUUUAAUCAUCCCAUAUUUGUCUUUCUCCCCUUGCCCUCUCGGAUCAUCCCAAUAUGUUGACGGCAACCUCUUAAUGUUGCAGCUUCUGCUAUCAUUUCUUCUUUUAAAAUUUUGACCUUAACUUGGAUAGGAGUGGAUAGUUGGAGUCGCUUUAUCUCCUGUGCAAGAUAUCCAC